GACGUAGGGCGCGAGCGUUGUCCGGAUUUAUUGGGCGUAAGGAGCUCGUAGGCGGCUUGUUGCGUCGACUGUGAAAACCCGCGGCUUAACCGCGGGCUUGCAGUUGAUACGGGCAGGCUAGAGUUCAGUAGGGGAGACUGGAAUUCCUGGUGUAGCGGUGAAAUGCGCAGAUAUCAGGAGGAACACCGGUGGCGAAGGCGGGUCUCUGGGCUGACACUGACGCUCAGGCACGAAAGCGUGGGGAGCAAAAGGG
rnacentral:rRNA from 1 species